AUCCACAAACACAAAUCCACCAAAACCAUAUAAACAAGAAUCCGCCACCAAAACCAAUGAUUACUGAAACUGUUUUUUCUGUGCUCUUUGAGAAGCUGACAUCUGCAACUUUGGAAAGACUUGCUCGCCAGAAUGGAAUUGAUUCUGAGAUCAGGAAAUGGAAGAUGUCAUUACUUCAGAUACGAGAUGUGCUUAAUGAUGCUUCUCAAAAAGAGAUAAGUGAUCAAUCUGUGAAGCGAUGGCUUAAUGGUCUCCAACAUUUGGCAUAUGACAUAGACGACGUCCUCGACGCUGUAGAAACCGAAGCAAUUCAUCGUGAGUUGACCGAAGAUCCGCCUGAAACUAGUAAGCUAAGAAAAAUCGUCUCAACUGGUUUUAGUAAGUUUUCACUAAGGACUAGUGUAACGAAAGAUAAGUUAGAUGAGAUUACCACCAAAUUGCAAGAUCUAAUUGACGAAAAAAAUGCUCUUGGUUUAAUUAUGAAAGACGAAAUAAGGCCAAACAAUAUAAAUAGAAGAUACCAAACCUCUAUUGUUCAUGAACCUAAUAUUGUUGGACGACAAGAUGAGAAAGCGGAACUGCUCCAAAAGCUAUUGGUAACGGGUGAUGAACCAAGUCACCAAAACUUUAGCAUUGUUCCUAUAGUCGGCAUGGGUGGCGUUGGUAAAACAACCCUAGCUAGACUUUUGUAUAAUGAAAAUCAAGUCAUAGAACACUUUGAGCUUAAGGCGUGGGUUUGUGUUUCCGAUGACUUUGAUAGCUUUUCUAUAAGCAAAGUAAUUUAUCAAUCUGUAACGGGUGAAAACAGGGAAUUUGCGGAUUUGAAUCUGCUCCAGGUAGCACUUAGAAAUCACCUCCAGGAUAAAAUGCUUCUGCUAGUUUUAGAUGAUGUAUGGAGUGAAAGUUGUGAAGAUUGGGAAACCCUGGUUGGUCCAAUUCAUGCAUGUGCUCACGGAAGUAAAAUCAUCAUGACCACACGAAAGGAGCAAUUGCUCAAAAAGUUAGGUUAUGAUCAUUUACAAAAACUGUCAUGCCUGUCUCUUGAUGAUGCCUUGUCGUUAUUUGCACAACAUGCAUUAGGUGUAAAUAACUUUGAUUUACAUCCUACGCUCAGACCACAUGGCGAAGGCAUUGCAAAAAAGUGUAAUGGUUUGCCUUUGGCUUUAAAAGCACUUGGUAGGCUAUUGAGGACAAAACAUGAUGAAGAAGAUUGGAAGGAAGUUUCAGAGAGUGAGAUUUGGAGGUUGAAAGACGACGGUGGAAUUGUUCCGGCUCUUAGAUUAAGUUACCUUGAUCUUUCAGCAUGUUUAAAGCGGUUGUUUGCAUAUUGUUCCUCGUUCCCCAAAGACUUUAUGUUUGAUAGGGAGAAUUUAGUUUUGUUGUGGACAGCAGAAGGGCUUUUGCACCAAACACUGCCUACCAAUUGGACAGAAGAACGCUUGGGUCAUGAAUUUUUUGAAGAGUUGUUAUCAAGGUCCUUUUUCCAACAUGCGCCUAAUGCAUCAUUCUUUAUAAUGCAUGAUCUGAUGAAUGACUUGGCCACAUCUGUUGCUGGAGAGUUCUUUUUAAGGUUAAACAAUGAUACAGAGAAGGAUAUCGGGAAAGAAAUUUUGGAAAAGUGUCGUCAUCUAUCAUUUGUUCGUGAACCAUAUGUAACUUACAAGAAGUUAGAGGGGGUCAGUAGAGCUAAAAGUUUAAGGACAUUCUUGGCAACAUCUGUUGGAUUGGUAGAAGGUUUGUCAUGGUUCAACUUAUCGAAUAAAAUUCUUGUUGACUUGCUUCCUGAGUUACAAUUGUUAAGGGUCCUGUGUUUGAGUAAUUUCAACAUAAGUGAAGUGCCAGAUUCCAUUGGUGAGAUGAGGCACUUAAGGUAUCUUAAUCUAUCUCGAACUAAGAUCACACAUCUCCCAGAAAAUGUAAGCAAUCUCUACAAUUUACAAGUAUUGAUUGUUUGUGACUGUUAUAAGUUGACUAAGUUGCCCAACAACUUUUCAAAACUUAAAAACCUACGACAUUUUGACAUUUGGAACACUCCGAAGUUGAAAAAGUUACCGUUAGGAAUUGGUAGCUUGAGUAAGUUACAAACUCUCUCCAACAUCAUCGUUGAAGGUGAAAAUGGAUUUAAAAUAACCGAGCUUAAAAAUUUGAAGUAUCUAUGUGGAAAAAUUUCCAUUAAGGGGUUAGACAAAGUGCAAAGUUCAAUUCAUGCACAGGAGGCGAACUUUUCGCGAAAGAGGCUUAAUAAGUUAGAAGUGGAAUGGAGUGAUGUGUUUGAUGUUUCUCGAAAUGUAAUGGUUGAAAAGGGGGUCUUAAAUGAGCUUAAGCCACUUAAUGAAAGCUUAAAACAACUCAAAGUAGUGUCUUAUGGAGGAAUAGAGCUUCCAAGUUGGGUUGGAGAUCCGUCGUUUCUUCGGUUGAAACAUGUGUCAAUACAUGGAUGUAAAAGAUGUUUAUCUCUACCAUCACUAGGACAAUUGCCAGCACUUAAGGAGUUGUCUAUUAAAGGCUUGCAUGAAGCGAAAGUUGUGGGUUUGGAGUUACUUGGGACUAGUGGUAAAUUUUCUUUACUUGAAGUUCUAAAAUUUGAAAAUAUGUCGGGGUGGGAGGUAUGGUCAGCCAAUAGUAAGGAUGUGUUUCCGUGCCUUAAAGAGCUUGUUAUUAAGAAUUGUCCUAAGUUGGCCGAAGUCUCUCUUGAAGCACUACCUUCAUUGAGGGUAUUACAAGUAAGUGAAAGCGAUGAGAGCGUGUUGAGAAGUUUGGUUCAAAUAGCUUCAAAGGUUACCAAGUUGAUAAUAACGAGAAUUUCAGGUCUGACAGAUGAUGUGUGGAGAGGUGUUAUAGAAUGUAUUGGUAAAAUUACAGAGCUAAGCAUUAAUUCGUGCAAUGAGAUAAGACACUUGUGGGAAUCUGAAGCAGAGGCAAGUAAGGUUCUUCUGAAAUUAAGGAACUUGUGUGUAUACCAUUGUGAUAAUUUGGUGAGUUUAGGAAAAAAAGAGGAAGAGGAGGGUGAUUGUGGGAGCAGCCUCCACUUAACAUCUCUUAGGAAGUUGGAGAUAUCCGUAUGUAAGAAUAUAGAGUGUUGCACUGUGCUAAAUAGCAUAGAGACAUUGACAAUCUCUGGUUGUCGUUCACUUACAAAAAUUUCCUUCCCAUCAGGAGGAGGGCAGAAGCUCAAGUUAGUCACCUUUGGGAAUAUUGUAAAAGUAAUGAAACCAGAAUUGGGAGGAUAUGAAGGAGGAGUAGGAGACACGAGUAUGAUGCUUUUCAACAAUGGAAGUAGCAUGCCAAUGCUUGAUUUCCUAUGUAUAUAUUUGCCAAAUCUGAAAUUCAUCGUUAAGUUGAAUUGCUUCCUUCACCUCACCACAUUGAUGAUACAAGAUUGUUCAAGUCUGGAGACGUUUCCUGACCACCAGUUGUUGGAAUUGGCCUCUUUAAAAAGUCUGUGGAUUAGAGAUUGUCCAAGAUUGGAUGCAUCCUUUCCUCGUGGGCUUUGGCCUCCCAAGUUGUGUAACCUUGGAAUCGGGCGGCUGAAGAAGCCCAUCUCACAAUGGGGCCACCAGAAUUUCCCUCUGUCACUUGUAGAACUAAACUUAUACGGGUCAGAGGAUGUGAUUGAUUUUAGUCAAUUGUCCGAUCUUGUUCCUUCAUCUCUCGCUCGCCUGGAAAUAUAUGAUUUUACGGAAUUGGAAUCAGUUUCAAGGGGGUUCCAACACCUCUCCUCCCUCACACGUCUCUCCUUUAAUAGAUGCCCAAACUUGAAAGAUCUGCCAGAAGUGUUGUUUCCUUCACUUUUGAGUUUGAGCAUCGUUUUUUGUCCAUAUGUGAGAAAAAAAAUCAGCAGAAAUGGCGGGUCUGGCUCCUACUGGCCCCUCAUUUCCCAUAUCCCCUACAUCAAUAUAUCCCCCUAAGUUAUGAAGUUACUAAGAAGGGGUUCUUUGUUUGACACUUAUAAAUCUUAUUUGAAGGACAGGGCUUACUGAUGAAAUAGGUGCAGAGGUAUGAUGAUGGAUGCACUCAGAGAAUGUUGAGAAGGAAAUUAAGAAGCUGCUUAUGAGGAAUGACAUAAAGGAUUCAACAAGAUAAACCACAAGCAAGCAUUUAUACAAAUAAGAUGUCCUUCCAGACUUAUAUUAUGGCUUGGCAUUCGUAAUUGGAACAAUUUUAGACUUUCAAAUAGUGAUUUGCAAAAGUUCAAAGCAGAUUGCAAGACCUGAAAACGAAGAUCAAUAGGCGUAAAGUUGGUAAAUUUUAUGUGAUUUUUUGAAGGAGAUGAAUAUGAGUUUCUUUUGAAAGUUCUAGAUACCGUAGAGUUUUAAUCACCCAAUCCUAUCAAGAAUUACAUGAAUUUGACAUAACCGCCUACUAUAAAACAUAAUCCUCAACGAGUUUCUUCUUUAGUUCUUCGGUUCUAUUUUCAUCUUCUACUAUGAGAAGGUCAUGUGUAUAACAAGUUAGAGGGUACCCAAUGGUUAGUCCCUGGGUUCGUUUGAGGUGGACGGACGAGUCCACACCAUUGGGUGAGACUAGUCCUCCACUCGUCCGCCUCACUAGUUCCUGUAGGGACGAGUCUUGUGUGUGCGUGUUUUUUUUUAAAAAAAUUUUUUUAAUCCUAUAUACAAAGAAGAAGACAAAAAAAUUAGUGGGUCCAAGACUAGUCCUUGGGAGAUGAGUGCAUUGGGUGUAUUUUGGGGGAUUAGUCUUUGGAGUGUUUUUUUGCUGAUGUGGCGCUGACAGAGACUAGUCUUUGGGGGAUGAGUGGUCACCAUUGGGUACCCUCUUAUAACAAAUUAGAACAGAGUUAAUAUGAGAAGAUCAUGUGAUUGAAAGCUCAUAUCAGUUGGGAGCAGACAUUAGUUAUAAUAAAGUGUAUGAUGAUUAUGAUCAUGAUCAUGAUACUGAUUUUUUGUUUUAAAUUAUCAUACAUAUAAUCAUGAUGUAUACUUAAACCAACUUAAAUACUCAUGUACGUCAUUGGAAAUUCCUUUGAAAA